rnacentral:rRNA from 1 species
AGAGAGAGACAUGCGCGCAUAUCAAUAAGCGGAGGAAAAGAAACUAACAAGGAUUCCCCUAGUAACGGCGAGUGAAGCGGGAAGAGCUCAAAUUUGAAAUCUUAAAGGGUUUCCCUUUACGAAUUGUAGUUUAAAGAAGUGUUUUCUGUUGAGGUUUUGGUAAAAGUUCUUUGGAAUAGGACAUCAUAGAGGGUGAGAAUCCCGUAUUUGACCUUUACUUUCAACUUUGUGAUACACUUUCAAAGAGUCGGAUUGUUUGGGAAUGCAGUCCAAAAUGGGUGGUAAAUUUCAUCUAAAGCUAAAUAUUGGCGAGAGACCGAUAGCGAACAAGUACCGUGAGGGAAAGAUGAAAAGAACUUUGAAAAGAGAGUUAAACAGUACGUGAAAUUGUCAAAAGGGAAGCGUUUGACACCAGUGUUGUUUUUCUGAAAAUCAAUUAAAGAACUGUUUAUGCUAAGUUGUUUAGACUUUAUCAGCUAACUGUUUAGUUUUGAGCUUUUCUUUAGUGCACUUUUCAGUUAACAAGUCAACAUCAAUUUCUUUUGCUGUAAAAAAGCUUGAGGAAGGUGGCUUGAGAUUCGUCUUAAGUGUUUAUAGCCUCUUGCCUAUGCAGUCGGAGAGAUUGAGGUCUGCAGCGUAGAUCCUUCGGGGCUAAAUGCAUUUGUGCUAAGUUAUAGCAUUUUAUAGACAACUUGUUGACUAUGAUUUGUCUUGUAGCUUACUCGCUUAUGUUAUUUUACCUACGCUUAGGAUGUUGACGCAUGAGAUAACGC